rnacentral:lncRNA from 1 species
GCUCCCUGAUAUAGACCAGACCUUGAGGAAGAGCAAUUCCCCUUCAGUGUUUUAGUUCAGAGGCACCACUGUGUACAAGAGCAGUUACAUUUUAGGAAGUUGGGACAAGAGGUUAAGACUGGCAGUGCUUUGGGGUGAGUAAAGUAAGUUAGUUUGGAAUUAAGCAAAAAGGCAGAAUUAGGAGGUGCAUGCUGUUAAAUUAUAUUGCAAAAAUACAAGCUGGGGAUUAGACAGGGGUCAGAGGGUAUGAUGAUUGAGCCGAAGAAAUCCCAUGCAUGUUAUCUCUUCAGUCAGAGAAUACAUCUCAAAUAAUAGAGAAGUGCAUCUCACCUAAAAGUGAGAAAGAUAUUCAGUUUUCUCAAUGAAUAUGUAUUAAGUGCCUGUUACUUAUAAGCACUGCAUGAGGUCCUACUGGGAAAAGAAGGACAAGUAAGAGCCAAAAAAACUAAGCUCUGUGAGAAGAAGAUAAGCCGGGGCAGUGGGAGUUCAAGGAAGAAACACAGAAAGUGGCUUUACAGAGGAAGGGAGCUUUAGGAGAUGAGAACGAUUUCAGUCUGUGGACGAUGGGGACUUUCCAGGCUGAGACAAUGGUAUCUGCAAAGGCAUGGACGUGGGAGAGGCUGAAGACUUUUCAGAGGUUUUUCCAUUGCAGCCUGGCUGGAUCAUGGUUAUUGGAGACAGGCCUGGAAAUGGAGUAUGGAGUGUGGCACGGGAAAGGAAGAACUUGGUUUCCAGGCCUGUGAGUUUCCAUGUGGAGAAGAGAACCCUCCUUCUUGUCCACAUCUGAACCGACAAAGCUACUGUUAGCUGAAGGGACUCAGAAGAGAGCAGCACGAUUGCCUGAGAUCCAGUAGUCCCUUUUGCAAUAAAGCUAUGAUGUAAGUAAUCAUAUGUAAAUGGUUUUUAAACUUUACCCAUAGGAAAUGGGGGAGUCAAACUUUAAUACAUCAGACUCAGCUUCAUUUUAAAAAUUACCUACCUGAGAAGGAAGAAGAGAAAUCUAUAUAAA